UCUCCGUUGGUGAACCAGCGGAGGGAUCAUUAUCGAGUUUAUAACUCCCAAACCCUAUGUGAACUUACCACUUGUUGCUUCGGCGCGCGCUUCGGCGCCGCCGAGGACACUUAAACUCUUUGUUUUUAUAAGCAUUUCUGAGUGGCCGAAAGGCAAAAUACAAAUGAAUCAAAACUUUCAACAACGGAUUUCUUGGUUCUG
rnacentral:misc_RNA from 1 species